rnacentral:rRNA from 1 species
CCCGCUGAACUUAAGCAUCUCAAUAAGCGGAGGAAAAGAAACCAACAGGGAUUGCCCUAGUAACGGCGAGUGAAGCGGCAACAGCUCAAAUUUGAAAUCUGGCGCAAGCCCGAGUUGUAAUUUGUAGAGGAUGUUUCUGGCGACGUGCCUUCCGAGUUCCCUGGAACGGGACGCCAUAGAGGGUGAGAGCCCCGUACGGUUGGAUGCCUAGCCUCUGUGAAACUCCUUCGACGAGUCGAGUAGUUUGGGAAUGCUGCUCUAAACGGGAGGUAUACGUCUUCUAAAGCUAAAUACCGGCCAGAGACCGAUAGCGCACAAGUAGAGUGAUCGAAAGAUGAAAAGCACUUUGAAAAGAGGGUUAAAAAGUACGUGAAAUUGUUGAAAGGGAAGCGUUCAUGACCAGACUUGGGCAGGUUGAUCAUCCGUGGUUCUCCGCGGUGCACUCUGCCUGCCCAGGCCAGCAUCAGUUCGCCCCGGGGGAUAAAGGCUUUGGGAAUGUGGCUCCCUCGGGAGUGUUAUAGCCCACUGUGUAAUACCCUGGGGUGGACUGAGGUUCGCGCUCUGCAAGGAUGCUGGCGUAAUGGUCAUCAACGGCCCGUCUUGUAACACGAAU